rnacentral:tRNA from 1 species
GCCAGGGUGGCGGAAUUGGCAGACGCGUCAGACUUAGGAUCUGGUGCCGAAAGGCGUGCAGGUUCGAGUCCUGUCCCUGGUA